UAAUACGAAGGGAGCUAGCGUUGUUCGGAAUUACUGGGCGUAAAGAGCGCGUAGGCGGUUUAACAAGUCAGGCGUGAAAGCCCUGGGCUCAACCCGGGAAUUGCGCUUGAGACUGUUUUUCUAAGAGUACGAGAGAGGUAAGUGGAAUUCCCAGUGUAGCAGUGAAAUGCGUAGAUAUUGGGAGGAACACCAGUGGCGAAGGCGGCUUACUGGCUCGUGACUGACGCUAAGGCGCGAAAGCGUGGGGAGCAAACAGG
rnacentral:rRNA from 1 species